rnacentral:lncRNA from 1 species
GAUUAAGGUGCCUAAGUUGGCUAAGUUUGUUAUUGACAGUUAGCUUACUUAGUGACUAAGGAAAACCUUGUCUAUAUAUAUCUAUGUACUAAUGUAAAAUGAUGAUGAUGAAUAUACAAGAUACAAUUCUCUCUCUCUCUUUAAAACUGUUAUUCUCUCUCAAAUGUCUCUCUAUCUCUAUCAAGAACUUGUAUGGAAAACAAACGUCUCUCUGCAAUCUGACAUGGUAUCUUCGCCGGUGCUAGAGGUCUUCCGAUCCUGUGCUGCUUCUUGCUUCUACCUUCUUGAUCUGUAUGUUUUGGUGUGAUCUUUUACUCUCAUCUCUUUCCUCAUUGAAUUGCGACUUCUCUUUUCUGCUAAGUUCGCCUGUAAAGUUUAUGCAACAUUGUGCUCACCAACUGUCCGAUCAAUUGUGUGACUAAAAGUUUUUGAAUCGAUAUCAGUUUUCUUCUUUCGAAUUUGUCUCUGAGUUGAAUUCUUUAAGUAAUUCUGCCCAAUUUUCUUUCUGAAACCCUAAUUCUAUGAUUCUUUCACGAAUUAUUGAAUCUUUGCAUACUUUUCUCUGCAAACAUGGUGACUGUAGCACAAUUACAAAUUGUACAGUCUCUUAUUACAAAUCUCAUUCCGAAUGUCUCUAAUUCUGUUAUUGUGAAGCUUGAUGAUACAAAUUAUCUUGUGUGGAACUAUCAAAUUCGUUUGCUUCUUAAAAGCCAUGGUAUGUUCGACUUUGUUGAUGGCACUCGAACAUGUCCUACAAGAUUUAAAGAUGAUUUCGAUGUUGAAGGUGUUGAAACUGAGGAUUUUCAGAUUUGGAAAAUGCAUGAUUGUGCUAUAAUGCAGCUACUCAUUACUACACUGUCUCCAACAUCCAUGUCUUGUAUCAUUGGUUGUCUCAAUUCUCAUGAUAUGUGGACUAAUUUGAAGGAUAGGUUCUUUAUAGUUACAAAAGCCAGCAAUUUUUAAUUGAAAACUGAGUUGUAGAAUAUAAAGAAAGGUUUUGAUUCAGUCUCUCAGUAUCUUCAAAUGAUCAAAGAUGUUUGGGAUCAUCUCUCAGCAGCAGGAGUAAUUUUUAAAGAUGAUGACAUUGUUAUUUUGUCACUUAAAGGUUUGCUUGUGGAGUACAAUACAUUUCGAACAGUUAUGAGGGGGAGAGAUAAUGUGAUCUUACUAAAGGAUUUUAGAUCCCAACUAUUGGCAGAAGAAGCUAUUGUUGAAAAUAUCUAUGUGAAUGACACCUUUAUAUCUGCCAUGAUGGCAAAUGACAGGAAAGACAAAGGAAAUGCUCUGAUGCUUGGAGAAGAAUCCACUCAAUCUCAGUUACAAAAUCAUAAUGCUAGUGGAUCAACCAACACUAGCAAUUAUAAUGGUGGCUCUUCUAACUACAAUGGUGGAUACAAUUCUUCUUACAGAGGUAGAGGACGAGGCAGAAAUAACUACAGUUCCAACAACAAAAACAAUACUAGUUUCUCAAAUUCAAGUGCAGGGAUUCUUGGUCCAGGAAAGCAUCAUGUGUCUACAUGUCCUAAUCAUGGUUAUGAUAUUCCCAUUUGUCAAAUUUGUAAUAAACGAGGGCGCAUUGCAGCUAAUUGUUUUUAGAGACACUAAUCUUCCUCUACUCAAUCCUCCAAGCCACAAUGCCAAAUUUCUAGCAAAUUUGGACACAUUGCUUUGCAAUGUUAUCAUAGAGCUGAUUUUUCAUAUCAAGGAAGGGCUCCAUCACCCAAUCUCUCUGCUAUGUAUACUACCUUUCAACCAUCUGCACCACAUGAGCAAUUUUGGGUGGCAAAUACAGGAGCAACUUCCCACAUGACUUCUGAUUUAGCAAAUCUCAAUCUACCAACCUCAUUCUCUGGCAUAGAUACAGUAACCACAACUAAUGGUUUAGGUUUUCACAUCUCUCAUAUUAGUUCUAGUACAUUAAGGACAUCUUAAUAUGAUUUUGAACUGAAGAAAAUUAUGCAUGUUCCCCAUAUAUCUCAGCAUUUAUUAUCCAUUUAUAGACCAUGUAAGGAUAACAAAUGCAGAUUUAUGUAUGAUUAAUUCUCUUAUUGGAUCCAGGGCAAGGUCAUAGGGAGAAUCCUUUUCCAAAGACUGUGUAGAGUUAGCUUGUACCCCAUUCUCUUCUCUAUUCCAAAACAUCUCAUAAAUCAAGCACAACAAUCAUCUGCAUUACCUACAACACAAUCAUGUUUUCUUGGCAAGCAAGUCAAAAUAAUGUUGUGGUACCACAGGCUAGGACACCUCUCCAACAUUGUGACAUCUGCAAUGUUAAAACAAUCCAAUAUACCUAUGCAUGUUUCUCAUGUGUCUUCUAUUUGUAAAUCAUGUUUAGAGGGCAAGUUUACAAAACUUCCUUUUGUUUUUCCUACAAAUAAAACUGUAAAACCCUUGGAGGUUAUACAUAGUGAUGUUUGGGGGCCUUCAUCUACUGUUUCAGUUGAAGGUUACAAAUACUAUGUUACUUUUGUGGAUGAAUGUACUAGGUUUACCUGAAUCUUUCCAUUGAUAAAUAAAAGUGAAGUAUUCAGUAUUUUUGUUCACUUUUACCAGUUUUUUAAUACUUAGUUUUCUGCAAAUAUCAAAGUAUUUCAAAGUGAUGGAGGAGGUGAACACUUCAGUUAAAAGUUCAAACAAUUUUUGCUUGAUAAAGGUAUGGUUCAUAAAAAAUCAUGCCCUUAUACCCUUGAGCAAAAUGGUCUUGUACAAAGAAAGCAUAAACAUAUUCUUGAAAUAGCCGUUACACUUUUACAAAAUGCUUCAAUGCCCUAUAAGUAUUGGUUUCAUGCACGUGCUGCUUCUGUGUAUCUCAUAAAUCGAAUGCCCUGUCAAACCUUGCACAUGUCAUCACCAUAUCAAUACUUUUUUGGUAACUCUCCUCAGAUUUCUCAUCUUAAAAUCUUUGGUUGUGCAUGCUAUCCACUUUUAAAACCAUACAAUACUACUAAGUUGCAACCCAAAACAACUUAGUAUGUAUUUAUAGGAUAUGUAGGCCAAUAUAAAGGGUAUUUGUGUCUACAUCCUUGGCAAGAUCAUUGUCUCCAGACAUGUUCUAUUUGAUGAAUUUGAUUUUCCUUUUUCAAAUCUUCAGCAUUCAUCCACUGCACCUUAUAACAUUUCAUCUCAGCACAGGGUAUCUGUCACUGCUCCACAUACAUUACCUCCAUUAGUUACUUCACAAAACACAGUUAUUCCUUAUCAACCAUCUUUUUUACUUGUUUUAUCCCCUACAGCCUCAGAGUCUUCAAAUUCAAUAACCACUAGUGCCACAGAGUUGUUCCAUUCUUUUCCUUCUGGUGCCUCAAGUAUCUACACAAUCUCCAAUGCCUGUUGAUCUAGAUUUUCGACCAGAAAAUAUGUUUGUUGUCUUUCCAAUACCUUCAGUUAGUUUGCAUCUCAUGCAAACUAGGUCCAAAAGUGGGAUUUCCAAGAAGAAAGUGUUCUCAGCAACUGUUCAAUCAUCUGCAAAUGCAAUUGAACCUACCUCCUACAAGUCUUCUAGUAAAUUUCCUAAGUGGCAAGUAGCUAUGCAAGAAGAGAUAGAUGUUCUUCACGCUCAGAAAACUUGGAGCUUAGUUCCUUUACCCUCUAGGAAGAAUUUGGUUAGCUGCAAGUGGGUAUAUAGGAUCAAAAGAAACUGUGAUGGAUCUAUAGCUAGACACAAAGCUAGAUUGGUUGCCAAAGGUAUAGUCAAGAAGAAAACAUUGAUUACAAUAAGACUUUCAAUCCUAUUGUUAAACCCACAACUGUGAGGUUGAUUUUAGCUUUGGCAGCACAAUUCAAUUGGUCUUUAAGGCAGUUAGAUGUUAAGAAUGCAUUUCUGCAUGGUGACUUAAAUGAAGAAGUGUAUAUGGCAUAACCUCCAGGUUUUCACAACUCUAGUCAUCCCUCUUAAUAUGUUUGCAAGCUUAAUAAGUCACUAUAUGGCUUGAAGCAAACUCCCAGAGCUUGAAAUGAAAAGUUUACAAGUUAUUUGCCCGGUUUGGGUUUUAAGUCCUCUUUUGUAGAUCAUUCCUUAUUUGUCAAACAUAGUGCUGCUGGUACUGUUGUAUUGUUAUUUUAUGUGGAUGAUAUAAAUUUUCUUGCAGAUAGUUCUUCUCAGAUGAUCACUGAUACUGUUGUGAAGUUAACUAAGGAACUUGAUAUGAAGGAUUUGGGACAGUUGCAUAAGUUUUUGGGGUUACAAAUCACUUAUCAGUAUAUCGGCUUAUUUGUCUCUCUGUCAAAAUAUAUCAAGGAUUUGUUAAAUAAAGUUGACUUAUAAGAUUCAAAGGCUUGUCCUACACCUUGCUUGCCAUAUCACAAAUUCCUCAAGGAUGAUGGCACUCCAUAUCACAGUCCAGAGCAAUAUAGAAACAUUGUUGGUGAUAUCAUUCUUGCAGACAGUUCUUCUCAGAUGAUCACUGAUACUGUUGUGGAGUUAACUAAGGAAUUUGAUAUGAAGGAUUUGGGACAGUUGCAUUAGUUUUUGGGGUUACAAAUCACUUAUCAGUAUAUUGGCUUGUUUGUCUCUAAGUCAAAAUAUAUCAAGGAUUUGUUAAAUAAAGUUGACUUACGAGAUUCAAAGGCUUGUCCUACACCUUGCUUGCCAUAUCACAAACUCCUCAAGGAUGAUGGCACUCCAUAUCACAGUCCAGAGCAAUAUAGAAACAUUGUUGGUGCCUUGCAGUAUUUAACUUUUACAAGGUUAGACAUAGCAUUCUCAAUGAACCAAUGCUGUUAGUUUAUGCACAAUCCUAUGAAUUCUCAUAUUGUUGCAGUUAAGAGGAUUCUUAGAUAUCUUAGUGGCACAAUAAACUAUGGUCUUAGCUUCAAACAUGGAAAAUUGCAUCUGCAAGCAUACAGUAUGCAGACUGGGCAUGUGAUCCUAAUGAUCAAAGAUCAACUUCUGGUCAUAUUGUUUACUUUGUUUCUAGUCCAAUUUCUUGGGCCUUUAAAAAGCAACAUACAAUGUCAAGAUUUUCAACUGAGGCAGAAUAUAGAGCCUUAGCUAUUGCAGUUGCAGAUUUAGCAUGGAUUAGGCAAUUACUGUGUGAUCUUCAUGUUUCUGUGUUCAUUGCACCAAUGAUCUACUAUGAUAAUAUUUCAGCAAGAGGUGUGCUAUCUACACACCUCAUUUUACUUCUCACACACCCCUUGAUUAUUUCUGUCCAUUGAUCUUCUUUAAUUCAUCUGAUUUGACGUUUGAAAAUUAAAAAGGUGCGUGAGAAGUAAAAUGAGGUGUGUGGAUAUCACACCCUUUUUAGCAAUUGCUUUGUCUUCCAAUCCUGUCUUUCAUUCUCGAGUGAAGCACAUUGAGAUAGAUUAUCACUUUGUCAGGGAAAGGAUGAUCCGAGGAUAUUUGAAUGUUUAUCAUGUGUCUUCCAGAGAACAGUUUGCAUAUAUUCUCACUAAGGGCCUUGCUGCACCUUUGUUUCAAUGUCAUUGUUCCAAUCUGAUGCUUGGUUCAUCCAAGCAUGAGAUUGCGGGGGAUGUAAAGAUGUAUUAGUUGUUUUAGAUGAUGACAAGUGUACAUAGAUUAAGGUGCCUAAGUUGGUUAAGUUUGUUAUUGACAGUUAGCUUACUUAGUGACUAAGGAAAACCUUGUCUAUAGAAAACCUUGUCUAUAUAUAUCUAUGUACUGAUAUAAAAUGAUGAUGAUGAAUAUACAAAAUACAAUUCUCUCUCUCUCUCUAAAACUAUUAUUCUUUCUCAAAUGUCUCUCUCUCUAUCAAGAACUUGUAUGGAAAACAAACGUCUCUGUGCAAUCUGACAAUCAUGAUCCAUGCAGCUAGAUUACCCAAAUUAAUUCAAAAGAAAGAAAAAAAAAUGGCGAAGCUAUAUGGGAGCGAGGAGGGGCGAUCGCCCCUCCCCUCGUCGAAAAUUAAGCCUGGGAGCGACGGUCCGCCCCUCUGGUCACGUCGGAAAACUUGCAGCGCCGUGAGGGACAAAGUUCCAAUAAUCUUAGAGGAGGAGGAAGAAGAAUUUUAGCCACCAGAACAUAAACUCGUGACCUGUUCUCCCCUCUUCGAACCCCUGCACCUCGCAGAUCUCGUACACAGGUGGGGUUUGAAGCUCAAAGGAAAAAUCGACGGCGCUGGUGUGUGAAGGCAUGAGCAAAUGGGAGAGGCGCUAGGCUAUCCUAAUUUUAAACUAGAAGCUUAAAAAAAACAAAAAAGUAAGAAUGAGGUCCUAGCUGCUGCAGUCAUGGUGUUGGCCCAAAACUUGGGCCUAGUUGAUUUAAAAUAAAAGGAAAAAGGAAUGGGAUGCAGAGGAAAACUACAAAAGGAGGAGUUUCAAUACUUUGGUCUUGACUUUGGUAUUAUUGGUCGAUACCGCUUCAGUUAAGAGAGUUUUUUUGCUAUAAGUAUUCUCAAAAUACCAUUGUGUAACAAAAAAGAAGAUAAAUGGUUGAGUGAUAGCUUUGUUGUUUACAGUAAGAGAGAUAUUUUUCUUCUAUUGAUAAUAAACUUAUUGUGCAACGUUUUCAUGACAUUAAACAUCGCCGACAACAAUUGUAACUUGUUUGUAUUGAUACAUUAUGAACGACAUUUAAAUUUUCCACCAUAUAAAAGGAUUUGGUUGUUAUAUUUUUUUGGAGCCUUUUACUCUUUUAAAUUUCGCCCAUUCCCUUGAAAAUUCCUGGCUUCGCCACUGACCACGGAUAUUGCUACCAUUGCUAUAACAAGGACCAUCGUGUUGUUCACGUUCAUGGUUCUAGCCAUCUUUUCUAUAAUUAUUGUCCUUGUGUAUGAUUCUUGACUUUACAACAACUUCAUGGUGUCUGAGUUUAUAAGUUUUAUCAAUUGUGUAAAUCAGCUGUGACAUCUGGCAAUUGCUAGCUCUUUGUGUGCAUGGAGCAGCUAGAUUAUUAGCUGAUAAUUGAUUCAUGUAAUGAUAGGUCGAUGUUAACUAUACAUGUCGAUUAUGUAAAACAAUUUUUAGAUGAUAAUUCCCAAGCAUAACAUUACAGAUUUUAAUAGUUUUUUUUUUUCAUUUUAAUUAUUAUAUGAGUAAUAGAGUUGUAACAGCAAUGUGAUACAUAUUUGGUUUUAUUUUGAAUUACUUAACCCUAAUGAAAUUCUGGUUGGAUUCUUGUCUCGUAUGCUAUAUAGACAAUGCAAAACAAUACAACAAAAAGUUUCAAAGACUUCUUCUUUUGGAUGUGAUAUUUGUACUCUCAUCUCUCAAUAAUAUGUAAUAUAUAUUAUGCAUCCGUAAAGUGUACCUAUUGUAACUAAUUAGAGGCGUCAAUGCAGGACCAAUUAUUAUUUCAUUAU